CAAAGAUUUAUCGCUGAAAGAUGGGCUCGCGUCUGAUUAGAUAGUUGGUGAGGUAACGGCCCACCAAGUCGACGAUCAGUAGCCGGACUGAGAGGUUGAUCGGCCACAUUGGGACUGAGACACGGCCCAGACUCCUACGGGAGGCAGCAGUGGGGAAUAUUGGACAAUGGGGGAAACCCUUAUCCAGCGACGCCGCGUGAGGGAAGAAGGUUUUCGGAUUGUAAACCUCUGUCAGUGGGGACGAUAAUGACGGUACCCACGGAGGAAGCCACGGCUAACUACGUGCCAGCAGCCGCGGUAAUACGUAGGUGGCAAGCGUUGUCCGGAAUUACUGGGUGUAAAGGGAGCGUAGGCGGGAUGUCAAGUCAGAAGUGAAAAUUAUGGGCUCAACUCAUAACCUGCUUUUGAAACUGAUAUUCUUGAGUGAAGUAGAGGCAAGCGGAAUUCCUAGUGUAGCGGUGAAAUGCGUAGAUAUUAGGAGGAACACCAGUGGCGAAGGCGGCUUGCUGGGCUUUUACUGACGCUGAGGCUCGAAAGCGUGGGGAGCAAAGAGGAUUAGAUACCCUGGUAGUCCACGCUGUAAACGAUGAUUACUAGGUGUGGGGGGAUUGAACCCUUCC
rnacentral:rRNA from 1 species